GAGGUCCGCAGUCUCCUCGGGGUUGAAAUCGGGCAUCAGCGCCGUUUAGAGAACACCGUCCUGCUGGGCAUGGCCGGGAUGCGAAGAUGGCCCUGAAGCGCACCUCCUAGAAUUUGGUUACCUAGAAAACCAUGUGGAAUAAAACGACGAGGCUUAUGAUAUUUAAAAGACUUCUGCAUCGAAUUGGUGUUAUCAUAAGGGUUAUUUUAAUAACUGGCAUUCUCUAAGUUUCUACACGUGUUGGGGGAUGCAGUGCCGUGCCACAUUUCCCGUCUCCAGCAAGCGCAGUCAGAUUGGCGACAUCGCAGGCAAGAGGCAGGGCUGGGACUCCCACCCGAGAAGUAAUUGUCUCCAAAGUUGGACUUUUGCCACUGGUUCUGCGACUUCAUGCAAUGCCAGGGAGAGCCCCUUGAUUUCCCCCAAAUCCUCAUCAGCCUCCUUCCACCCAAGCCCAGAUGAACAGUACUCAUCUACUCACCUGAGGAUUAUGAGGAUUAUGAGUUUUAUGGAGCAAAAUUUGCCUAGAACAGGUUGUCAGCUUCUGUGGACACAGUCUUCUACCCUCAGAAAUCCCAUUGGAAGAAAGAACAAAUGAAGCAUCCCAAGGACUGGAGGAUUCUCUUCCCCCAGGGUAUUCAAGGAGGACACUGG
rnacentral:lncRNA from 1 species